rnacentral:rRNA from 1 species
GACACGCUGGCGGCGUGCCUAACACAUGCAAGUCGAGCGGGGACAGUGAGUAGCAAUACAAGCUGUUCUAGCGGCGGACGGGUGAGUAACGCGUGAGCAACCUGUCCCAAACAGGGGGAUAACGAACCGAAAGGUUCACUAAUACCGCAUAAGACCACAGAGCCACAUGGUUCAGAGGUCAAAGGAGCAAUCCGGUUUGGGGUGGGCUCGCGUCUGAUUAGCUAGUUGGUGGGGUAACGGCCUACCAAGGCGACGAUCAGUAGCCGACCUGAGAGGGUGAUCGGCCACAUUGGAACUGAGACACGGUCCAAACUCCUACGGGAGGCAGCAGUGGGGAAUAUUGGGCAAUGGACGAAAGUCUGACCCAGCAACGCCGCGUGAAGGAAGAAGGUUUUCGGAUCGUAAACUUCUAUCCUUGGUGAAGAUAAUGACGGUAGCCAAGAAGGAAGCCCCGGCUAACUACGUG